rnacentral:rRNA from 1 species
CCCUUAGAGUUUGAUCCUGGCUCAGAUUGAACGCUGGCGGCAUGCCUUACACAUGCAAGUCGAACGGUAACAGGGAGCUUGCUCCGCUGACGAGUGGCGAACGGGUGAGUAAUACAUCGGAACGUGCCCAGUAAUGGGGGAUAGCUCGGCGAAAGCCGGAUUAAUACCGCAUACGCCCUGAGGGGGAAAGUGGAGGACCGCAAGGCCUCACGUUAUUGGAGCGGCCGAUGGCUGAUUAGCUAGUUGGUAGGGUAAAGGCCUACCAAGGCGACGAUCAGUAGCUGGUCUGAGAGGACGAUCAGCCACACUGGGACUGAGACACGGCCCAGACUCCUACGGGAGGCAGCAGUGGGGAAUUUUGGACAAUGGGGGAAACCCUGAUCCAGCAAUGCCGCGUGUGCGAAGAAGGCCUUCGGGUUGUAAAGCACUUUUGUCAGGGAAGAAAUCCUUUGGGCUAAUACCCUAGGGGGAUGACGGUACCUGAAGAAUAAGCACCGGCUAACUACGUGCCAGCAGCCGCGGUAAUACGUAGGGUGCAAGCGUUAAUCGGAAUUACUGGGCGUAAAGCGUGCGCAGGCGGUUGUGUAAGACAGGUGUGAAAUCCCCGGGCUUAACCUGGGAAUUGCAUUUGUGACUGCACGACUAGAGUGUGUCAGAGGGGGGUGGAAUUCCACGUGUAGCAGUGAAAUGCGUAGAUAUGUGGAGGAACACCAAUGGCGAAGGCAGCCCCCUGGGAUAACACUGACGCUC